GACGAACGCUGGCGGCGUGCUUAACACAUGCAAGUCGAACGGAAAGGCCCUGCUUUUGUGGGGUGCUCGAGUGGCGAACGGGUGAGUAACACGUGAGUAACCUGCCCUUGACUUUGGGAUAACUUCAGGAAACUGGGGCUAAUACCGGAUAGGAGCUCCUGCUGCAUGGUGGGGGUUGGAAAGUUUCGGCGGUCGGGGAUGGACUCGCGGCUUAUCAGCUUGUUGGUGGGGUAGUGGCUUACCAAGGCUUUGACGGGUAGCCGGCCUGAGAGGGUGACCGGCCACAUUGGGACUGAGGUACGGCCCAGACUCCUACGGGAGGCAGCAGUGGGGAAUAUUGCACAAUGGGCGGAAGCCUGAUGCAGCAACGCCGCGUGCGGGAUGACGGCCUUCGGGUUGUAAACCGCUUUCGCCUGUGACGAAGCGUGAGUGACGGUAAUGGGUAAAGAAGCACCGGCUAACUACGUG
rnacentral:rRNA from 1 species